rnacentral:rRNA from 1 species
CCUACGGGUGGCAGCAGUGAGGAAUAUUGGUCAAUGGGCGAGAGCCUGAACCAGCCAAGUCGCGUGAGGGAGUACUGCCCUAUGGGUUGUAAACCUCUUUUGUCGGGGAGCAAAAGCCGGACGUGUCCGGCUGUGAGAGUACCCGAAGAAAAAGCAUCGGCUAACUCCGUGCCAGCAGCCGCGGUAAUACGGAGGAUGCGAGCGUUAUCCGGAUUUAUUGGGUUUAAAGGGUGCGCAGGCGGAUGUUUAAGUCAGCGGUAAAAUCGUGGGGCUCAACCCCAUCCAGCCGUUGAAACUGGGGAUCUAGAGUGUGCGAGAGGUAUGCGGAAUGCGUGGUGUAGCGGUGAAAUGCAUAGAUAGCACGCAGAACCCCGAUUGCGAAGGCAGCAUACCGGUGCACAACUGACGCUCAGGCACGAAAGCGUGGGUAUCGAACAGGAUUAGAUACCCGAGUAGUC